rnacentral:rRNA from 1 species
GAUGAACGCUGGCGGCGUGCCUAAUACAUGCAAGUCGAGCGAACGGACGAGAAGCUUGCUUCUCUGAUGUUAGCGGCGGACGGGUGAGUAACACGUGGAUAACCUACCUAUAAGACUGGGAUAACUUCGGGAAACCGUAGCUAAUACCGGAUAAUAUUUUGAACCGCAUGGUUCAAAAGUGAAAGACGGUCUUGCUGCCACUUAUAGAUGGAUCCGCGCUGCAUUAGCUAGUUGGUAAGGUAACGGCUUACCAAGGCAACGAUGCAUAGCCGACCUGAGAGGGUGAUCGGCCACACUGGAACUGAGACACGGUCCAGACUCCUACGGGAGGCAGCAGUAGGGAAUCUUCCGCAAUGGGCGAAAGCCUGACGGAGCAACGCCGCGUGAGUGAUGAAGGUCUUCGGAUCGUAAAACUCUGUUAUUAGGGAAGAACAUAUGCGUAAGUAACUGUGCACAUCUUGACGGUACCUAAUCAGAAAGCCACGGCUAACUACGUG